rnacentral:rRNA from 2 species
UGGGGAAUAUUGCACAAUGGGGGAAACCCUGAUGCAGCAACGCCGCGUGAGCGAAGAAGGCGGAAUCGUCGUAAAGCUCUGUCCUUGGGGAAGAAGAACUGACGGUACCCUUGGAGGAAGCCCCGGCUAAAUACGUGCCAGCAGCCGCGGUAAUACGUAUGGGGCAAGCGUUAUCCGGAAUUAUUGGGCGUAAAGAGUGCGUAGGCGGUUCUUUAAGCGAGGGGUUUAAGGCUAAGGCUUAACCAUAGUUCGCCCCUCGAACUGGGGGACUUGAGUGCAGGAGAGGAAAGCGGAAUUCCUAGUGUAGCGGUGAAAUGCGUAGAUAUUAGGAGGAACACCGGUGGCGAAGGCGGCUUUCUGGACUGUAACUGACGCUGAGGCACGAAAGCGUGGGGAGCAAACAGG